rnacentral:rRNA from 1 species
CUCGCCUGCAUGAAGUCGGAAUUGCUAGUAAUCGCAGAUCAGCAUGCUGCGGUGAAUACGUUCCCGGGCCUUGUACACACCGCCCGUCACACCAUGGGAGUCGGUAACACCCGAAGCCUGUAGUCUAACCGCAAGGAGGACGCAGUCGAAGGUGGGAUUGAUGACUGGGGUGAAGUCGUAACAAGGUAUC